rnacentral:rRNA from 1 species
AUUGAACGCUGGCGGCAUGCUUUACACAUGCAAGUCGAACGGUAACAGGCCGCAAGGUGCUGACGAGUGGCGAACGGGUGAGCAAUGCAUCGGAACGUGCCCAGUCGUGGGGGAUAACGCAGCGAAAGCUGUGCUAAUACCGCAUACGAUCUGUGGAUGAAAGCGGGGGACCGAAAGGCCUCGUGCGAUUGGAGCGGCCGAUGUCAGAUUAGGUAGUUGGUGGGGUAAAGGCUCACCAAGCCAACGAUCUGUAGCUGGUCUGAGAGGACGACCAGCCACACUGGGACUGAGACACGGCCCAGACUCCUACGGGAGGCAGCAGUGGGGAAUUUUGGACAAUGGGCGCAAGCCUGAUCCAGCAAUGCCGCGUGCAGGAAGAAGGCCUUCGGGUUGUAAACUGCUUUUGUACGGAGCGAAAAGGCUCUCUCUAAUACAGGGGGCUCAUGACGGUACCGUAAGAAUAAGCACCGGCUAACUACGUGCCAGCCGCCGCCGUAAUAC